AGCUUGCUCCUGCUGACGAGUGGCGCACGGGUGAGUAAUGCAUAGGUAACGUGCCCCUUAGUCUGGGAUAGCCACUGGAAACGGUGAUUAAUACUGGAUACUCCUUCUACCUUGAUGGUAGUUGGGAAAGUUUUUCGCUAAGGGAUCGGCCUAUGUUGUAUCAGGUAGUUGGUGAGGUAAUGGCUCACCAAGCCUAUGACACAUAGCGGGUCUGAGAGGAUGAUCCGCCACACUGGUACUGAGACACGGACCAGACUCCUACGGGAGGCAGCAGUGGGGAAUAUUGCACAAUGGACGAAAGUCUGAUGCAGCAACGCCGCGUGGAGGAUGACACAUUUCGGUGCGUAAACUCCUUUUAUAUAAGAAGAUAAUGACGGUAUUAUAUGAAUAAGCACCGGCUAACUCCGUGCCAGCAGCCGCGGUAAUACGGAGGGUGCAAGCGUUAUUCGGAAUCACUGGGCGUAAAGGGUGCGUAGGCGGUUUGAUAAGUCUGAUGUGAAAUCCUAUGGCUCAACCAUAGAACUGCAUUGGAAACUGUCAAACUAGAAUACUGAAGGGGCAGAUGGAAUUAGUGGUGUAGGGGUAAAAUCCGUAGAUAUCACUAGGAAUACCGAAAGCGAAAGCGAUCUGCUGGGAAGUUAUUGACGCUGAGGCRCGAAAGCGUGGGGAGCAAACAGGAUUAGAUACCCUGGUAGUCCACGCCCUAAACGAUGAAUGUUAGUCGUCGGGUAGCUAGUCUAUUCGGUGAUGCAGCUAACGCAUUAAACAUUCCGCCUGGGGAGUACGGUCGCAAGAUUAAAACUCAAAGGAAUAGACGGGGACCCGCACAAGUGGUGGAGCAUGUGGUUUAAUUCGAAGAUACGCGAAGAACCUUACCUAGCCUUGACAUAUUUAAGAACACUUUAGAGAUAGAGUGGUGCCUUCGGGAGCUUUUAUACAGGUGCUGCACGGCUGUCGUCAGCUCGUGUCGUGAGAUGUUGGGUUAAGUCCCGCAACGAGCGCAACCCUCGUCACUAGUUACUAACGGUUCGGCCGAGGACUCUAGUGAGACUGCCUUCGUAAGGAGGAGGAAGGUGAGGACGACGUCAAGUCAUCAUGGCCCUUACGGCUAGGGCAACACACGUGCUACAAUGGCCAGGACAAUGAGACGCGAUACCGCGAGGUGGAGCAAAUCUAUAAACCUGGUCUCAGUUCGGAUUGUAGUCUGCAACUCGACUACAUGAAGCUGGAAUCACUAGUAAUCGUAGAUCAGCUAUGCUACGGUGAAUACGUUCCCGGGUCUUGUACUCACCGCCCGUCACACCAUGGGAGUUGAUUUCACCCGAAGCGGGGAAGCUAAACUGGCUACCCUCCACGGU
rnacentral:rRNA from 1 species